GAGUUUGAUCCUGGCUCAGAGCGAACGCUGGCGGCACGCUUUACACAUGCAAGUCGAGCGAGAAAGCGGCUUCGGUCGCAAGUAUAGCGGCGGACGGGUGCGUAUAACGUGGAUAACCUGCCUUAAGGACCGGGACAACCUUGGGAAACCAAGGCUAAUACCGGAUAUGACCACGAUGUCUGAGGGCAACGGGGUAAAAGAUGACCGUUUACGGUUGUCGCCUUUUGAGGGGUCCACGUCCUAUCAGGUAGUUGGUGGGGUAAAGGCCUACCAAGCCAAAGACGGGUAGCCGGCCUUAGCGGGUGAUCGGCACACGGGGACUGAGACACGGCCCGACUCCUACGGGAGGCAGCAGUGGGGAAUAUUGGGCAAUGGGCGAAAGCCUGACCCAGCGAUGCCGCGUGAGGGAAGAAGGCCUUCGGGUUGUAAACCUAUGUCAAGAGGGAAGAACGGGUCUGCAAAUUAACCUUGCGGGCUUGACUGUUCCUCCAGAGGAAGCCCCGGUAACUCCGUGCCAGCAGCCGCGGUAAUACGGAGGGGGCAGGCGUUGGUUCGGGAAUUUACUGGGGGCGUUAAAGAGUCCGGUAGGUGGGUCUUGCAAGUUUGGCUUGUGGAAACGGCCCGGAAGUUAACUUCCGGGGAAUUGGCUCCAAAACUGGUUUGAUUUGAGUCCCCAAAGAAGUUGGGGGGAAUCCCGGUGUACCGGGAAAUGCGUACGAAUUCGGGGGGAACACCCANGAGGAAGGNCACAUGGGUUGGGCUGACUUGAGGGAUGUGUGUAGCGAACCGGUUAAACCUGGGAAGGAAUACACACACGGAAGCCNCCAGACGGAACAGUCAGUAGUGGAGAAAAGGCCAAACAGGGGAAAGCAGGUGGAGUGAUCAUAACAGAAGGAGCAUGGAUGGGUUCAAUAGAGUUUAAAAGGGUGUGGAU
rnacentral:rRNA from 1 species